rnacentral:rRNA from 1 species
UACACUCCUACGGGAGGCAGCAGUGGGGAAUAUUGGACAAUGGGCGCAAGCCUGAUCCAGCCAUGCCGCGUGAGUGAUGAAGGCCCUAGGGUUGUAAAGCUCUUUCACCGGAGAAGAUAAUGACGGUAUCCGGAGAAGAAGCCCCGGCUAACUUCGUGCCAGCAGCCGCGGUAAUACGAAGGGGGCUAGCGUUGUUCGGAAUUACUGGGCGUAAAGCGCACGUAGGCGGAUCGAUCAGUCAGGGGUGAAAUCCCAGGGCUCAACCCUGGAACUGCCUUUGAUACUGUCGAUCUGGAGUAUGGAAGAGGUGAGUGGAAUUCCGAGUGUAGAGGUGAAAUUCGUAGAUAUUCGGAGGAACACCAGUGGCGAAGGCGGCUCACUGGUCCAUUACUGACGCUGAGGUGCGAAAGCGUGGGGAGCAAACAGGAUUAGAUACCCCUGUAGUCCCAUG